rnacentral:rRNA from 1 species
CCUACGGGUGGCAGCAGUGAGGAAUAUUGGUCAAUGGACGAGAGUCUGAACCAGCCAUGUCGCGUGAAGGAUGACUGCCCUAUGAGUUGUAAACUUCUUUUAUAUGGGGAUAAAAUGCUCUACGUGUGUGAGUUUGUAUGUACCAUAGGAAUAAGGAUCGGCUAACUCCGUGCCAGCAGCCGCGGUAAUACGGAGGAUCCGAGCGUUAUCCGGAUUUAUUGGGUUUAAAGGGUGCGUAGGCGGAUUGUUAAGUCAGUUGUGAAAGUUUGCGGCUCAACCGCAAAAUUGCAGUUGAUACUGGCAGUCUUGAGUACAGUAGAGGUGGGCGGAAUGUGUGGUGUAGCGGUGAAAUGCUUAGAUAUCACAAAGAACUCCGAUUGCGAAGGCAGCUCACUAAACUGCAACUGACGCUGAGGCACGAAAGUGUGGGUAUCAAACAGGAUUAGAUACCCGUGUAGUC